UUGAAUGUGUGGAGCCUCUUGAUGUGAAUAUUGUAACUGGCAUCCCUCAAGAUGAGAAUGGGUAAGCAAUACUUAUUGUGCGACGUAGGCUCUGAACAUUUACAUUACAUGUGUAUUUUGUCACAACCCGUGGUUUUUUUUAUAUCACAUUUAUCGUAAACAUGAAUGACAUUCAGGCAGGGUAACACCCUGCUGCUUUUAUGACAUUUUUCGCUCUAAGCUGUUGAGAUGUACAAGGUAGUCGUAAUGUCAUAAUAACCAGCCAUUGCUGAACCAUUGGUAUAUUCCCAAAUUCAUUUUUAAUGGUAUUUUUUUUUUUGCUGAAUUGCAGGCAUGAUUGCUGUUUGUUUGUCAUAAAGUACGCCAAGUAUAUCAUAACCGAGAAACUCGAAGAUAUGGCAGUCACUUUUGAUCCGUUAUAUCGAGAUCUAACCUGGCAUGCCAACUUUUCAAGCACGGUUGUGAGAAGAUUAUUGAAGCAUACGAUACGGAUUUCGACCUCAUGCCACGUAGUGUUGGGCGGGACAGGAAGAUGAAAGGUGUGGUGAUUGAGUAGUCAAGUAGUAAUUUGGGAAGAAGAUUACUAAGGGCAUGUUUGGUAGUGAUUUUUUGACCGUCAUUUUACUAUUCCAAUGAUUAUAUUUGCCUUCUUCUC
rnacentral:lncRNA from 1 species